CCCCGUCCUGGGACAGGGACAGGGGCAGGGGCAGGGGCAGGGACAUGGGUAGGAGCCUGGGCGGCGGCAAGGCGCCGGCUCCCCUCGAAAUCCCGGCUCCGCAGUGAGCGGCGGCUCCGGCGAUCCGGCCGGUCCCGAGGUCCCGGCAGGGCUGGGGCCGGGGGCGCUGCCCGCCGGUUCCCGGCCCUGUGCCCCCCCCGUCACCCCCUGUCGCUGUCCCUCGGCCCGCAGGGUCAGGCCGGGCCGAGCUGCCCGCCCGAGCCCCGCGUCGGAAGCGGGCGGCCGGCAGCGGGCACGGGAGCCGGCGGCGCCCGGGACCCCCGGUGCGGGCUGCCCCCGGCGGGCUCUCAUUGGCCGCGGGGCGGGACGUGCCGCCCGCUCCGGCCCUAUAUCAGGGCAAUAUUGCCCCGGCGGGGCGCGGGGCAGGUGCCGGAGCGGCGCUGCCCGCGCAGGCAUGGACCUGGGGUACUUCCCACUCGGGCUGUGCCGCGGGGCCCCGGUGCCCCCCUGCCCGCGGCGGGGGCCCGGCUCCUUCCCCCCACCGGGCAUCGCGCCCGGCUCCGCGCCGCCCGCCUGCGCGGGGUGCACUGCGGCCCCGGGCCCCGGCUACGAGAGACCACGCGGAGCUGGGACACCGGGCGAGGGCUGCGCGGACCCGCCGCGACCCGACGACCCCGGCAUCCGCCGCCCGACCCCUCCGGAGCUCGGCCGCCCCCGUCCCCGCCCCGGCUCCCCGGCUCCCGGGGCGGCCCCCCGCACCUUCGAGUGGAUGCGAGUGAAGCGGAGCCCGCCCGGGAGAAGCGGCGCGGCGCCUCCCGCCUGCCCCCUGCGCACCAGCUUCAGCACCCGGCAGCUCACGGAGCUGGAGAAGGAGUUUCACUUCAGCCGCUACCUGUCGCGGGCCCGCCGCCUCGAGGUGGCCCGCUCGCUGCGCCUCCGCGACGCCCAGGUGAAGGUCUGGUUCCAGAACCGCCGCAUGAAGCAGAAGAAGCGGGAGCGGGAGGCGCUGGCAGCCCCCCGGGCAGCCCCGGGGAGCCCCCCCUGAGUCCCGCCGGGACGUCGGGGCUGCGGCCGGCUCCUCCGUCCGGGCCGGCCCCGCUUGCACUGCCGCUUACCUGCGGCGUUACCGCGGAGCAUCGGCAGGGAAAGUUGCUGCCGGCCCCAAGCGCCGCUGCUCGGCUCCGUCUUGGAGCGAGGGGACGAGAAAGGCGGACGGGAGCCGCCCCGCGGGGCCGCCGCGGCCGGGCCGGGGGGCGGGCAGGACCUGAGCCCCCGGCCGGGCCCAGCCGGCGGCCGUCGGGGAGCGGCGGGGAGCACCGGGGGCCCCGAGCUGCCGCCCUCUCUCUCCUGCGUUUAUCUCGUGGGAAGGGAGCUGCGCGGGGCGGCGGCACGGCGGGUGGGCGCGCACGGCUUCGGGCAGGGCUCCUGCAGGAGCAGGACGGGCAGGGCAGUGCGGGGAGGGCUUCCCCUCACGGCGACGGGAGGGAUGCUCGCCGGUACCAAGCGUGGCGCGGAGCCCCCUUAGGACAAGUGCCCUUAUCUCCUUCCCCGGGGCCCACGGUGGCAGGGCCCGGCCGGUGCCCUCCCGCGGCUCAGCUCCGGGCACCUCUGGGGUGGGCGGGCAGGGUCGGGGCGGGACGGGACGGGAUGGGACGGGUCGGGACGGGACGGGACGGGAGGGCGCAGGGCCUCCUACAGCUCCCCGAGCCCAGCUCCCGGCCGCCCGCCUCCCCCGGGCUCGGUUGUCGCGUACGGGUGAAGAACUGCACCGCGUUAAGUCCGUAUGCAAAAGGGAUUAAAGCGCAGAAGGAGCGCGGGGAUUCCUGUGUCUUCCUCUCGGAGCAGCGGUUCAGAAAGUGA
ensembl:lncRNA